UCCUACGGGGGGCAGCAGUAGGGAAUUUUCGUCAAUGGGCGCAAGCCUGAACGAGCAAUGCCGCGUGAACGAGGAAGGUCUUCGGAUCGUAAAGUUCUGUUGAAGGGGAAAAAGAGCGGAGAGAGGAAAUGGUCUCCGAUUGAUAUUACCCUUCGAGGAAGUCACGGCUAACUACGUGCCAGCAGCCGCGGUAAUACGUAGGUGGCGAGCGUUAUCCGGAAUGAUUGGGCGUAAAGGGUGCGUAGGCGGCCUGCUAAGUCUGGAGUGAAAGGUACCGGCUCAACCGGUACAGGCUCUCGAAACUG
rnacentral:rRNA from 1 species